rnacentral:rRNA from 1 species
AUUGAACGCUGGCGGCAGGCUUAACACAUGCAAGUCGAACGAGGGGCGGACGGGUGAGUAAUGUCUGGGAAACUGCCUGAUGGAGGGGGAUAACUACUGGAAACGGUAGCUAAUACCACAUACCAUCAGAUGUGCCCAGAUGGGAUUAGCUAGUAGUGGGGGUAAUGGCUCACCUAGGCGCCGAUCCCUAGCUGGUCUGAGAGGAUGACCAGCCAAACUGGAAAUGAGACACGGUCCAGACGCCUACGGGAGGCAGCAGUGGGGAAUAUUGCACAAUGGGCGCAAGCCGGAUGCAGCCAUGCCGCGUGUGUGAAGAAGGCCUUCGGGUUGUAAAGCACUUUCAGCGAGGAGGCGUUACUCGCAGAAGAAGCACCGGCUAACUCCGUGCCAGCCGCCGCGGUAAUAC